GCGUGGAGGAUGAAGUCCUUUGGGAUGUAAACUCCUUUCGAUCGGGAAGAUAAUGACGGUACCGGAAGAAGAAGCCCCGGCUAACUCUGUGCCAGCAGCCGCGGUAAUACUUAGGGGGCAAGCGUUGUUCGGAAUUAUUGGGCGUAAAGGGCGCGUAGGCGGUGCGGUAAGUCACUUGUGAAAUCUCUGGGCUCAACUCAGAGUCUGCAAGCGAAACUGCCGUGCUUGAGUGUGGGAGAGGUAUGUGGAAUUCCCGGUGUAGCGGUGAAAUGCGUAGAUAUCGGGAGGAACAUCCUGUGGCGAAAGCGGCAUCUCUGGACCAGAACUGACGCUGAGCACC
rnacentral:rRNA from 1 species